rnacentral:rRNA from 1 species
GACGGAGGAUGCAAGUGUUAUCCGGAAUCACUGGGCGUAAAGCGUCUGUAGGUGGUUCGAAAAGUCCACUGUUAAAAAUUGAGGCUUAACUUCAAAGAUGCCGUGGAAACUUUCAAACUAGAGUAUGGUAGGGGUAGAGGGAAUUUCCAGUGGAGCGGUGAAAUGCGUAGAUAUUGGAAAGACCACCGAUGGCGAAGGCACUCUGCUGGGCCGACACUGACACUGAGAGACGAAAGCUAGGGGAGCGAAUGGG